rnacentral:rRNA from 1 species
GUAGGUGGCAAGCGUUGUCCGGAAUUAUUGGGCGUAAAGCGCGCGCAGGCGGUCCUUUAAGUCUGAUGUGAAAGCCCACGGCUCAACCGUGGAGGGUCAUUGGUAACUGGGGGACUUGAGUACAGAAGAGGAAAGCGGAAUUCCAAGUGUAGCGGUGAAAUGCGUAGAGAUUUGGAGGAACACCAGUGGCGAAGGCGGCUUUCUGGUCUGUAACCGACGCUGAGGCGCGAAAGCGUGGGGAGCAAACAGGAUUAGAUACCCUGGUAGUCCACGCCGUAAACGAUGAGUGCUAAGUGUUAGGGGGUUUCCGCCCCUUAGUGCUGCAGCUAACGCAUUAAGCACUCCGCCUGGGGAGUACGGCCGCAAAGGCUG